CUUAAGCAUAUCAAUAAGCGGAGGAAAAGAAACCAACAGGGAUUGCCCUAGUAACGGCGAGUGAAGCGGCAACAGCUCAAAUUUGAAAUCUGGCCUUCUGGUCCGAAUUGUAAUUUGUAGAGGAUGCUUUUGGUUAGGUACCUUCCGAGUUCCUUGGAACAGGACGCCUUAGAGGGUGAGAGCCCCGUACGGUUGGAUGCCGAGCCUCUGUAAAGCUCCUUCGACGAGUCGAGUAGUUUGGGAAUGCUGCUCUAAAUGGGAGGUAAAUUUCUUCUAAAGCUAAAUACCGGCCAGAGACCGAUAGCGCACAAGUAGAGUGAUCGAAAGAUGAAAAGCACUUUGAAAAGAGGGUUAAAUAGUACGUGAAAUUGUUGAAAGGGAAGGGCUUGUGACCAGACCUUUGCCUUGGGGAUCAUCCGGUGUUCUCACCGGUGCACUCCCCUCGGUUGAGGCCAGCAUCAGUUUCGGCGGCGGGAUAAAGACUUCAGGAAUGUGACUCCCCCGGGAGUGUUAUAGCCUGCUGUGUAAUACCGCCACCGGGACUGAGGACCGCGCUUCGGCUAGGAUGCUGGCAUAAUGGUCAUCAGCCACCCGUCUUGAAACACGGACCAAGGAGUCGAACAUUUAUGCGAGUUUUUGGGUGUCAAACCCUCAAGCGUAAUGAAAGUGAACGGAGGUGAGAGCCCUUACGGGUGCAUCAUCGACCGAUCCUGAUGUCUUCGGAUGGAUUUGAGUAAGAGCAUAACUGUUCGGACCCGAAAGAUGGUGAACUAUGCGUGGAUAGGGUGAAGCCAGAGGAAACUCUGGUGGAGGCUCGCAGCGGUUCUGACGUGCAAAUCGAUCGUCAAAUCUGCGCAUGGGGGCGAAAGACUAAUCGAA
rnacentral:rRNA from 1 species